rnacentral:rRNA from 1 species
CCUACGGGCGGCAGCAGUGGGGAAUAUUGGACAAUGGGGGCAACCCUGAUCCAGCCAUGCCGCGUGUGUGAAGAAGGCCCUCGGGUUGUAAAGCACUUUCAGUGAGGAAGAACGCCUGGUGGUUAAUACCCAUCAGGAAAGACAUCACUCACAGAAGAAGCACCGGCUAACUCCGUGCCAGCAGCCGCGGUAAUACGGAGGGUGCGAGCGUUAAUCGGAAUUACUGGGCGUAAAGCGCGCGUAGGUGGCUUGAUAAGCCGGUUGUGAAAGCCCCGGGCUCAACCUGGGAACGGCAUCCGGAACUGUCAAGCUAGAGUGCAGGAGAGGAAGGUAGAAUUCCCGGUGUAGCGGUGAAAUGCGUAGAGAUCGGGAGGAAUACCAGUGGCGAAGGCGGCCUUCUGGACUGACACUGACACUGAGGUGCGAAAGCGUGGUUAGCAAACAGGAUUAGAUACCCUGGUAGUC